rnacentral:lncRNA from 1 species
CUGAAAUCAUCAUGAUAAUCUAAGAUUAUAAGUGAUCCAAAUUCUAGGGGUGAUGUGAUCCUUAGUGGUCUAAAAUCACUAUAUUUGAUUGCCCAUGGUACUAUGAUUAAAAAUCUCCAGAUAUGUACAAAUAACUUGUUUGAUGCCGUACAAGAAUCUAAGAUUAUCGAUUAUAUAAUAUUAAAAAUAUCCUGACAUAUCUCAGAUGGAAAGAGAAAAAAUGAUAAAG